rnacentral:rRNA from 1 species
UUAAGUUAGAAAGGGCGCACGGUGAAUGCCUUGGCACUAGGAGCCGAUGAAGGACGGGACUAACACCGAUAUGCUUCGGGGAGCUGUAAGUGAGCUUUGAUCCGGAGAUUUCCGAAUGGGGAAACCCACUGUUCGUAAUGGAACAGUAUCUUUAUCUGAAUACAUAGGAUAUUGAAGGCAGACCCGGGGAACUGAAACAUCUAAGUACCCGGAGGAAGAGAAAGCAAAUGCGAUUUCCUGAGUAGCGGCGAGCGAAACGGAAUUAGCCCAAACCAAGAGGCUUGCCUCUUGGGGUUGUAGGACACUCUAUACGGAGUUACAAAGGAACGAAGUAAAUGAAGCGACCUGGAAAGGUCCGUCGAAGAAGGUAACAACCCUGUAGUUGAAACUUCGUUCCCUCUUGAGUGGAUCCUGAGUACGGCGGAACACGUGAAAUUCCGUCGGAAGCUGGGAGGACCAUCUCCCAAGGCUAAAUACUACCUAGUGACCGAUAGUGAACCAGUACCGUGAGGGAAAGGUGAAAAGCACCCCGGAAGGGGAGUGAAAGAGAUCCUGAAACCGUGUGCCUACAAGUAGUCAGAGCCCGUUAACGGGUGAUGGCGUGCCUUUUGUAGAAUGAACCGGCGAGUUACGAUCCCAUGCAAGGUUAAGCUGAUAAGGCGGAGCCGUAGCGAAAGCGAGUCUGAAUAGGGCGUUUAGUAUGUGGUUGUAGACCCGAAACCAGGUGAUCUACCCAUGUCCAGGGUGAAGUUCAGGUAACACUGAAUGGAGGCCCGAACCCACGCACGUUGAAAAGUGCGGGGAUGAGGUGUGGGUAGCGGAGAAAUUCCAAUCGAACCUGGAGAUAGCUGGUUCUCUCCGAAAUAGCUUUAGGGCUAGCCUCAUGUUGUGAGAGUCUUGGAGGUAGAGCACUGAUUGGACUAGGGGCCCCCAACGGGUUACCGAAUUCAGUCAAACUCCGAAUGCCAAAGACUUAUCCAUGGGAGUCAGACUGCGAGUGAUAAGAUCCGUAGUCAAAAGGGAAACAGCCCAGACCACCAGCUAAGGUCCCCAAGUAUACGUUAAGUGGAAAAGGAUGUGGAGUUGCUUAGACAACCAGGAUGUUGGCUUAGAAGCAGCCACCAUUUAAAGAGUGCGUAAUAGCUCACUGGUCGAGUGACUCUGCGCCGAAAAUGUACCGGGGCUAAACGUAUCACCGAAGCUGUGGAUUGACAUCUUUGAUGUCAGUGGUAGGAGAGCGUUCUAAGUGCUGUGAAGUCAGACCGUAAGGACUGGUGGAGCGCUUAGAAGUGAGAAUGCCGGUAUGAGUAGCGAAAGACAAGUGAGAAUCUUGUCCACCGAAUGCCUAAGGUUUCCUGAGGAAGGCUCGUCCGCUCAGGGUUAGUCGGGACCUAAGCCGAGGCUGAAAAGCGUAGGCGAUGGCCAACAGGUUGAUAUUCCUGUACCACCUCCCCGCCGUUUGAGUAAUGGGGGGACGCAGUAGGAUAGGGUAAGCGCGCUGCUGGAUAUGCGCGUUCAAGCAGUUAGGCUGAUGAGUAGGCAAAUCCGCUCAUCAUAAAGGCUGAGCUGUGAUGACGAGGGAAUUAUAGUACCGAAGUUCCUGAUUCCACACUGCCAAGAAAAGCCUCUAGCGAGGCGGGAGGUGCCCGUACCGCAAACCGACACAGGUAGGCGAGGAGAGAAUCCUAAGGUGAUCGAGAGAACUCUCGUUAAGGAACUCGGCAAAAUGACCCCGUAACUUCGGGAGAAGGGGUGCUCUGGUAGGGUGUAUAGCCCGAGAGAGCCGCAGUGAAUAGGCCCAGGCGACUGUUUAGCAAAAACACAGGUCUCUGCGAAGCCGCAAGGCGAAGUAUAGGGGCUGACGCCUGCCCGGUGCUGGAAGGUUAAGAGGAGGGGUUAUCCUUUGGGAGAAGCUCUGAAUCGAAGCCCCAGUAAACGGCGGCCGUAACUAUAACGGUCCUAAGGUAGCGAAAUUCCUUGUCGGGUAAGUUCCGACCCGCACGAAAGGCGUAACGAUCUGGGCACUGUCUCAACGAGAGACUCGGUGAAAUUAUAGUACCUGUGAAGAUGCAGGUUACCCGCGACAGGACGGAAAGACCCCGUGGAGCUUUACUGUAGCCUGAUAUUGAAUUUUGGUACAGCUUGUACAGGAUAGGUAGGAGCCUGAGAAGCCGGAGCGCUAGCUUCGGUGGAGGCGUCGGUGGGAUACUACCCUGGCUGUAUUGAAAUUCUAACCCGCGGCCCUGAUCGGGCCGGGAGACAGUGUCAGGUGGGCAGUUUGACUGGGGCGGUCGCCUCCUAAAAUGUAACGGAGGCGCCCAAAGGUUCCCUCAGAAUGGUUGGAAAUCAUUCGUAGAGUGUAAAGGCACAAGGGAGCUUGACUGCGAGACCUACAAGUCGAGCAGGGACGAAAGUCGGGCUUAGUGAUCCGGUGGUUCCGCAUGGAAGGGCCAUCGCUCAACGGAUAAAAGCUACCCCGGGGAUAACAGGCUUAUCUCCCCCAAGAGUCCACAUCGACGGGGAGGUUUGGCACCUCGAUGUCGGCUCAUCGCAUCCUGGGGCUGUAGUCGGUCCCAAGGGUUGGGCUGUUCGCCCAUUAAAGCGGUACGCGAGCUGGGUUCAGAACGUCGUGAGACAGUUCGGUCCCUAUCCGUCGUGGGCGUAGGAAAUUUGAGAGGAGCUGUCCUUAGUACGAGAGGACCGGGAUGGACACACCGCUGGUGUACCAGUUGUCUUGCCAAAGGCAUCGCUGGGUAGCUAUGUGUGGACGGGAUAAGUGCUGAAAGCAUCUAAGCAUGAAGCCCCCCUCAAGAUGAGAUUUCCCAUAGCGCAAGCUAGUAAGAUCCCUGAAAGAUGAUCAGGUUGAUAGGUCAGAGGUGGAAG